rnacentral:rRNA from 1 species
CCUACGGGUGGCAGCAGUAGGGAAUCUUCCACAAUGGGCGAAAGCCUGAUGGAGCAACGCCGCGUGCAGGAUGAAGGCCUUCGGGUUGUAAACUGCUUUUAUCAGCGAGAAAUAUGAUGGUAACUUAUGAAUAAGGAUCGGCUAACUACGUGCCAGCAGCCGCGGUCAUGCGUAGGAUCCGAGCAUUAUCCGGAGUGACUGGGUGUAAAGAGUUGCGUAGGUGGCAUAAUAAGUAGCUAGUGAAAUCUGGUGGCUCAACCAUUCAGACUAUUAGCUAAACUGUUAAGCUCGAGACCGUUAGGGGUAACUGGAAUUUCUAGUGUAGGAGUGAAAUCCGUAGAUAUUAGAAGGAACACCAAUAGCGUAGGCAGGUUGCUGGGACGGUUCUGACACUAAGGCACGAAAGCGUAGGGAGCAAACGGGAUUAGAUACCCUUGUAGUC